CCCCUUCCUCGGAGGGGGUUGCUCACGUUUUUAAACAUUAAACACCCAUUCGAACGUAAUGUAGAAUGUUCUUUGCGCGAUGACGCGCGAUCAAUACAACUUUCAACAACGGAUCUCUUGGCUCUCGCAUCGAUGAAGAACGCAGCGAAAUGCGAUACGUAAUGUGAAUUGCAGAAUUCAGUGAAUCAUCGAAUCUUUGAACGCACCUUGCGCCCCUUGGCAUUCCGAGGGGCACACCCGUUUGAGUGUCGUGAACAUCCUCAACCCGCUUGGUUUUUAUCAAACCAAGUAGGCUUGGAAUUUGGAGGUUUUCUGCUGGCCUCCUCCGAAGCCAGCUCCUCUUAAAUGUAUCAGUGGGAUCCGCUUUGCUUAGAUCCUUGACGUUGAUAAGAUGUUUCUACGUCUUGGGUUUUGCUCGGGAAAGGACCUGCUUCUAACCGUCCCAUCCGGGGAC
rnacentral:rRNA from 1 species